rnacentral:rRNA from 1 species
UACGUAGGUGGCAAGCGUUGUCCGGAUUUACUGGGCGUAAAGGGCGUGCAGGCGGUCUGUUAAGUUCAGGGUGAAAGCUCCCGGCUCAACUGGGAGAGGUCCUUGGAUACUGGCAGACUUGAGGGAGGUAGAGGAGAGUGGAAUUCCCGGUGUAGUGGUGAUAUGCGUAGAUAUCGGGAGGAACACCAGUGGCGAAGGCGGCUCUCUGGGCCGGUCCUGACGCUGAGACGCGAAAGCGUGGGGAGCGAACCGG